UGCCUUCCCUGCCAUCACCAGACGAGUGGACCUGCCAAUGCUCCCAUGCAGAAGGGCACCUCCCUGCAGUGAACACCGGGUCCUGCUUGGGCUUCAUCUACCUACUACGCCCAGUGUGCUGUGGAGGAGAACUGAGGAGCGCCAGGGCUGGCCCUGCACACACAGGAGGGUGACAGGGCUGAGCACAGGGGGUGCUGGUGGUCCUUUGGGGGAAGACACCACCCUGUGACCUUAACUCCAAAGGGCACCAGAAUGGACAACCAGUCCGGUUGGUGCAGGUGUGCUGGUAUGUGCAGAUGUGCAGGUGUACCCUGCUCUCUCUCAAUGACCAGGCCUCUGGCUGGCAAGGUAGCUGGGAGGGGCCCUGGCAAUGCCCCUUUGUUUGAAGGAAGUCGUGAGGCUGCACAGUCAAGUCAGUGGUGCCUUAAUCCAAGAAAAUAAAAACCAUUAAGAAGCUUUGUGAAGAGGCUCUUGAUUGUAACUCAAGUGGGAGGGAGGGAAUGGCCAGGACUAUUUCUGCCUUUCCCUGGACCUUCCUCUCUGACGGAAAGUGAAUGUCUGAGUGGGCCCUGCCGUGGGGGAGACUGGACGGCUGUGCUGGGCUCCGUGGACAGUAGUUCAUCCCUGAUCUGGAUUUCUGCCACAACCCCUCCAAGUCUGCGCGCCUCCAGCCCUGCCACUUUGCGAAGCCUCUGCACACUGCAGCCUCCUCAUUGCCCUUGGGACCAAGUCUCUGCCUCUUGGCUGGCCACCCAAGGCCCCCGUUCUGAUUCCUGCCUACUCCUGUUCCUUUUUUCCUGUCCACGCUGCUCCAGUCCUCAGGCUCAGAAAACACCUUGCACGUUCCCCUCUCUGUGUCUUUGCCCAAGAAGAAUUUGUCAUUCACUCCUAUGGGUUUCUAAUUUAUUAUUAUUGUUGUUGUUGUUGUCAUUUCUGCUGGNNNNNNNNNNNNNNNNNNNNNAGAGAUUCAAAGGCCCCUGUCCUCCUAGAUUAGAGAACUCUUGAGGGCCACCCCAUGCCCAAGUGUGGAACCAGCCCACAUGACAGAUGCUCGAGAAAGGUUUCCAGAGCUUCAUGCUCUCUGGAAAAGUAAAUGUACUUGGAAUCAUCACUGCCCAAAACUUAGGGCUUGAGGGCUUCCAAGUAUAGUAGUGGGGCAUUGCAGGGAUUAGUCCUUUAAGCUUCUAGGGCCUUGCUGAGAGAGCUCCUGCCUUAGUACCCCAU
rnacentral:lncRNA from 1 species